CCCGGCACUUAUGCGCCGGGCUAUCUCAUCUCGCUCCUGCGGAGCU
rnacentral:sRNA from 1 species